CAACUUCCCUGGUUUGACCAGAAGGACCAAAUUAAAAGGCAAUGUUCUUCUGGACUACACUUUGCUUUCAUUCAGUUACUGUGGCACCUACCUGGCUAGUUACUCCUCUCUUCCAGAAUUUGAACUGGCCCUCUGGAACUGGGAAUCAAGUGUUAUUUUGUGCAAGAAGUCACAACCUGGUGUAGAUAUCAGCCAGAUGACUUUUAACCCCAUGAACUGGCACCAGCUGUGCUUGUCAAGUCCAAGUACAGUUACUGUGUGGACCAUUGAAAGAAGUAACCAGGAUCAUUAUCUCAAAUCCAAGUUGGUAAAACUACCUAUGGAAGAUGGAACAUUUUUUAAUGAAACAGAUGUAAUUUUCCCCCAGUCAUUGCCCAAGGAUCUUAUCCAUGGACCUGUGCUCCCACUGUCAGCCAUGGCCGGGCUAGUAGGCGAAGAAGCAGAAACUUUCGGGGUAAUCACCCGUCGCCUCUCCCAGUUUGCUUACAGUUCUCAUAGUCAUCCUAUGAGACAUGCAGGAUAGACAGGAUCAUCUUGGUUUAGCCCUGGACACCACAGAGAGGAAGGCUCUGGAGAUUUGAGUUUGGACCUGGGCGGAUGAUGGCGCUGACAGCAGAAACAGGGAGCCCAGAUGUGAUACCCGUUUUGGACACACUGAAUUUGUUGGGAAGGCCUGGUGGGAACUGGCCAAGCGGACCUAGCACUGGGGAGAAGGCAGGGCUGGAGACGCAGAGGUCAGAGUCAUUCCCACGGACAGGCUGAUGAGAGGGCUGGGGAGGGGACCUGUUUCGACGGAGAGGAGAGAAAGGGCAUCAGGGAAGAGAGCCGGAGAGGAAACUGACUGCCAAGAGCUGGGAGGAAGAAGACGAGCCUGAGGAGGAGCAGUCACAGAAGCAGGAGCA